AAGCUUAUUUGUGAAAUGGCUCGACAAAUUGGCAAGGACAUAUACAUUGAGGACUUUUAUGUUGUCCCUGUGUGGAAAGAAACUCCUAACAACAUUGUUACUGGAUUACCGGAAGAUGCAGACUUGAAAGACCUGUUAGCCUUUCCAGCAUGGACAAAUGCCAAUGGACCAGACCACUUUGUUGUCUGUGUAAGAAAAUAUUGAAAUGUCUAGUGCAUACAUUAAUUGGUAUUGCAAUGUGUGUGUUUCUAAAAUAAAACACUGAAAAAUCUUGGAAGAAGCAAUAAUGUUCAAAUGAAAUAUUUUUACACCUUUAACAUUGUAGAUAAUGAUGCCGCUUCGAAGAGGGAUGGUGUUUUUAGACUCUCUGUACGCAGAGCAUGAAUCAGGAUUUGGAGAUGAGGAAUACAGGGCAAUUUUUAGGUCUAUCAAUAAACUAAGACAUGUUUCAGCCUUUAUGUGAUAUA